GGAUGGGAGGAAGGCAGUGAAGAGGAAGGCGACGUUAACAACUGCAGAGAUGUAACUACGAGAUACUUAUAGCACACUUUGUUUCUGAUCGAAGAGUGCGGACCCAGCUGCAAUUUAGUUUAUUGUUAUAAGUGAGUGAGGUUAAGUAUGAGAGUAAUCUACGAGUCUCCGUCUCCAAGUCCCCGAAGCUGCACUCUCCCAAUCUCUCUCUGUCUCUCAGCUUACCUGUGGCAUCAUCAUCAUUUGUAAAAACUGAUUGCAUUCCGCGUUGCAUGUUGAGCGCCGCCAAGGAGAGAAAAAAAAGAGAGGCAAUUGGGAGUUGACGCGGCUGGAAACGUGAAGCGGUGCUCCUUUAAUCAAGACACUUGGCCGGCAAUAAUUCAAUUUGCAAUUAUCCCAUCCCAAGUGUUUUGACUUCAAUCUUCAAGCCGUCCCAACAGCGUUCCAACAAUAACAACAACAGCAACAACAACUCAUCGAUGGAUCGUUGGCCGAUUGGUCGCGUCAUCAAGCAGAACAAAUGAUGGGCCCCAGGGCAGCUCACGAGUUGGGAAUCAACUCAAAGUUGAAGUCGAAGUCGGAGAUGGAGAUGGAGUUGAAGUUGGAGUCGUUGUUGGCUGGUGUAAAUGAACCCAAUUGAUUAAAGCGUAAAUUAACCUGGGGUUAACAAUGUUUGGCUGCAUUUGUUAUUAAUCAUUGCACGUAUGAAUGCCUAAUCAGUUAAUAAAUUACGAACCGACUUUGGACUUACGGGGCGGCGAUUGUCAAAGCCCAUACUCUGUAUCUGUAUCUUGGCUUUCCCAUAGAUAGAAAUUUCAAUAAACGAUGAUUAGCCCAAAAAAAAAAGAGAAGAAAGUACGAUCAACAAAAGACGCACAAAAAAUGAGAAUUUCGGUGAUAAGCAGACCAAUAAAUAAUUGUUGAAGAACUUUUUGAAUAGAACUUCUCC